CAGCUCGUGUCGUGAGAUGUGGGUUAAGUCCCGCAACGAGCGCAACCCUGCAUUCAGUUGCCAACGGUAAGGCCGGGCACUCUGGAUGGGACUGCCGGCGACAAGCCGGAGGAAGGUGGGAUGACAUCAAGUCAUCAUGGCCCUUAUGUCCAGGGCGACACACGUGCUACAAUGGCCGGCACAGCGGGAAGCGAGGGGGCGACCUUGAGCGGAUCCCUCAAAGCCGGUCUCAGUUCGGAUUGCAGUCUGCAACUCGACUGCAUGAAGUUGGAAUCGCUAGUAAUCGUGGAUCAGGAUGUCACGGUGAAUACCGGUUCCCGGGUCUU
rnacentral:rRNA from 1 species